rnacentral:rRNA from 1 species
GGGAAUUUUCCGCAAUGGGCGAAAGCCUGACGGAGCAAUCUCGCGUGAGGGAUGACGGCCUAUGGGUUGUAAACCUCUUUUUUCAGGGAGGAAUAAAUGACGUGUACCUGAAGAAUAAGCAUCGGCUAACUCCGUGCCAGCAGCCGCGGUAAGACGGAGGAUGCAAGUGUUAUCCGGAAUCACUGGGCGUAAAGCGUCUGUAGGUGGUCUAGCAAGUCAACUGUUAAAUCUUGAAGCUCAACUUCAAAAUCGCAGUCGAAACUAUUAGACUAGAGUAUAGUAGGGGUAAAGGGAAUUUCCAGUGGAGCGGUGAAAUGCGUAGAGAUUGGAAAGAACACCGAUGGCGAAGGCACUUUACUGGGCUAUUACUGACACUCAGAGACGAAAGCUAGGGUAGCAAAUGGGAUUAGAUACCCCAGUAGUCA